rnacentral:lncRNA from 1 species
GAAACAGUCAUGACUUAUGAAGUCCUUGCUAGGUGCGAACUAAGUUCUCUGACGUGCAUUAUUUCAUUUAAUCCUCACUGUAACCCUGUGUCCUAGGUUCCGUUACUAUGCCCGUUACCCAGGUGAGGAAACAGAGGUUCAGAGAGGGUAAGGAACUUGCCCCAAAGUCCCAUAGCUAAGAAGUGGCAGGGCCAGGAGUCAAUCCCAACUAGUCUGACUCGAGAGUCUGGCCUUCCCAUCCCAGGGGAUAAGGCAUGGCUGGAUAUUCGGCUGAAUCAACAGGGAAAUGAAAAGCAAAAACAAAACAGCCUUGUACCUUACCCAGCCCUGGGCCAGCUUGAGCCAGUGGGUGUUUCUUUGGCUGUGUUUCCCCAGUUCGCCAUAAAUAGCCUGUCCCUGGGGUCCCACCCCAAACUCGUAGUCACCCGUGGAGCCAACUGUUCUUCAGCAUGCUUGCCUUUUCCUACAAUCGACACUCUGAGGAUGGACACUGUGAGCACACCGCAAGAAGCUGACUGUCUGCCAGGCAGGAGGAGGGCUCUUACCCGAACCCACCGUGCUGGCACCCUGAUCUUGGACGCCAGCCUAGAGAAUUGUGAGAAAAGAAAUUUCUGUUUUUAAGCCACCCAGUCUAUGGUGUUCCGUUAUGGCAGCCCGAGCAGCCUGAGACAGACGUGGAGAUGAGAGGAUGAUCUAAACGCAGUUUUCAUUUGAACAAAACAAAUCAGCUCUCACGGAACUAAGUUUGGAAUCAGCAAUAAAAGCUAAUUCCCCUGGA